GGGACACGUGGUAUCCUGUCUGAAUAUGGGGGGACCAUCCUCCAAGGCUAAAUACUCCUGACUGACCGAUAGUGAACCAGUACCGUGAGGGAAAGGCGAAAAGAACCCCGGCGAGGGGAGUGAAAAAGAACCUGAAACCGUGUACGUACAAGCAGUGGGAGCACGCUUAGGCGUGUGACUGCGUACCUUUUGUAUAAUGGGUCAGCGACUUAUAUUCUGUAGCAAGGUUAACCGAAUAGGGGAGCCGAAGGGAAACCGAGUCUUAACUGGGCGUUAAGUUGCAGGGUAUAGACCCGAAACCCGGUGAUCUAGCCAUGGGCAGGUUGAAGGUUGGGUAACACUAACUGGAGGACCGAACCGACUAAUGUUGAAAAAUUAGCGGAUGACUUGUGGCUGGGGGUGAAAGGCCAAUCAAACCGGGAGAUAGCUGGUUCUCCCCGAAAGCUAU
rnacentral:rRNA from 1 species